AGAGUUUGAUCCUGGCUCAGGAUGAACGCUGGCGGCUUGCCUAACACAUGCAAGUCGAGCGAUUCUCUUCGGAGAAGAGCGGCGGACGGGUGAGUAACGCGUGGGUAACCUGCCUCAUACACAUGGAUAACAUACCGAAAGGUAUGCUAAUACAAGAUAAUAUAAGAGAUUCGCAUGGAUUUCUUAUCAAAGCUCCGGCAGUAUGAGAUGGACCCGCGUCUGAUUAGCUAGUUGGUAAGGUAACGGCUUACCAAGGCGACGAUCAGUAGCCGACCUGAGAGGGUGAUCGGCCACAUUGGAACUGAGACACGGUCCAAACUCCUACGGGAGGCAGCAGUGGGGAAUAUUGCACAAUGGGCGAAAGCCUGAUGCAGCAACGCCGCGUGAGCGAUGAAGGCCUUCGGGUCGUAAAGCUCUGUCCUCAAGGAAGAUAAUGACGGUACUUGAGGAGGAAGCCCCGACUAACUACGUGCCAGCAGCCGCGGUAAUACGUAGGGGGCUAGCGUUAUCCGGAUUUACUGGGCGUAAAGGGUGCGUAGGUGGUUUCUUAAGUCAGGAGUGAAAGGCCACGGCUCAACCGUAGUAAGCUCUUGAAACUGGGAAACUUGAGUGCAGGAGAGGAAAGUGGAAUUCCUAGUGUAGCGGUGAAAUGCGUAGAUAUUAGGAGGAACACCAGUAGCGAAGGCGGCUUUCUGGACUGUAACUGACACUGAGGCACGAAAGCGUGGGGAGCAAACAGGAUUAGAUACCCUGGUAGUCCACGCCGUAAACGAUGAGUACUAGGUGUCGGGGGUUACCCCCCUCGGUGCCGCAGCUAACGCAUUAAGUACUCCGCCUGGGGAGUACGCUCGCAAGAGUGAAACUCAAAGGAAUUGACGG
rnacentral:rRNA from 1 species